UGGGGAAUUUUGCGCAAUGGGGGAAACCCUGACGCAGCAACGCCGCGUGAGUGAUGAAGGCCUUCGGGUCGUAAAGCUCUGUCAGAGGGGAAGAAGUGUGAGGUGGCUAAUAACCAUUUCACUUGACGGUACCUUCAAAGGAAGCACCGGCUAACUCCGUGCCAGCAGCCGCGGUAAUACGGAGGGUGCGAGCGUUGUUCGGAAUUAUUGGGCGUAAAGCGCGUGUAGGCGGUUUUUUAAGUCUGAUGUGAAAGCCCUGGGCUCAACCCGGGAAGUGCAUUGGAAACUGGGAGACUUGAAUACGGGAGAGGGCAGUGGAAUUCCUGGUGUAGGAGUGAAAUCCGUAGAUAUCAGGAGGAACACCGGUGGCGAAGGCGGCUGCCUGGACCGAUAUUGACGCUGAGACGCGAAAGCGUGGGGAGCAAACAGG
rnacentral:rRNA from 1 species